GACAGAGGGUGCAAACGUUGCUCGGAAUCACUGGGCGUAAAGCGCGUGUAGGCGGCCUUGCACGUCGGGUGUGAAAGCCCGGGGCUCAACCCCGGCAGUGCACCCGAAACGAUGGGGCUGGAGUGCUGGAGAGGCGGGUGGAAUUCCCGGUGUAGAGGUGAAAUUCGUAGAUAUCGGGAGGAACACCGGUGGUGAAGGCGACCCGCUGGCCAGCAACUGACGCUGAGACGCGAAAGCGUGGGGAGCAAACAGG
rnacentral:rRNA from 1 species